GGAUGAACGUUGGCGGCGUGCCUAAUACAUGCAAGUCGAACGAAGACUGUAGUAAUACUGUCUUAGUGGCGAACGGGUGAGUAACGCGUGGGUGACCUGCCCCGAAGUGUGGGAUAACAGUCCGAAAGGAUUGCUAAUACUGCAUAAUAUCCAAGAGAUUAGAUGCUUUUGGAUUAAAGGAGUAAUUCGCUUCGGGAGGGGCCCGCGUCCCAUCAGCUAGUUGGUAAGGUAAUGGCUUACCAAGGCGAUGACGGGUAGGGGACCUGAGAGGGUGGCCCCCCACAAUGGAACUGAAACACGGUCCAUACACCUACGGGUGGCAGCAGUAGGGAAUAUUAGUAAUGGGCGAAAGCCUGAACUAGCAACGCCGCGUGUGCGAAGAAGGCCUUCGGGUCGUAAAGCACUUUUUGAGAGGAUGAGGAAGGACGGUACUCUCAGAAUAAGUCUCGGCUAACUACGUGCCAGCAGCCGCGGUAACACGUAGGAGGCAAACGUUAUCCGGAUUUACUGGGCGUAAAGCGCGUGUAGGUGGUUUGGUAAGUAGGGCGUGAAAGCUCCUGGCUCAACUGGGAGAGGACGUUCUAAACUGCCAAGCUUGAGGAUGGUAGAGGGAGGUGGAAUUCCGGGUGUAGCGGUGGAAUGCGCAGAUAUCCGGAGGAACACCAGUGGCGAAGGCGGCCUCCUGGACCACUCCUGACACUCAGACGCGAAAGCUAGGGUAGCAAACGGGAUUAGAGACCCCGGUAGUCCUAGCCCUAAACGAUGUAGACUUGGCGUCGGUGGUUUAAUCACCAUCGGUGUCGUAGCUAACGCGAUAAGUCUACCGCCUGGGGACUACGGCCGCAAGGUUAAAACUAAAAGGAAUUGACGGGGACCCGCACAAGCGGUGGAUGAUGUGGUUUAAUUCGAUGCAACGCGAAAAACCUUACCCACCUUUGACAUGGCAGGAAUUCCGAAGAGAUUUGGAAGUGCUCGAAAGAGAACCUGCACACAGGUGCUGCAUGGCUGUCGUCAGCUCGUGUCGUGAGAUGUUGGGUUAAGUCCCGCAACGAGCGCAACCCUUGCCAUUAGUUGCUACGAAAGGGCACUCUAAUGGGACUGCCGGUGACAAACCGGAGGAAGGUGGGGAUGACGUCAAGUCCUCAUGGCCCUUAUAGGUGGGGCUACACACGUCAUACAAUGGCCGGUACAAAGGGUAGCCAACCCGCGAGGGGGAGCCAAUCCCAUAAAGCCGGUCGUAGUCCGGAUCGCAGUCUGCAACUCGACUGCGUGAAGUCGGAAUCGCUAGUAAUCGUGGAUCAGCAUGUCACGGUGAAUACGUUCCCGGGUCU
rnacentral:rRNA from 1 species